rnacentral:rRNA from 1 species
CGGGUACUCGAGUGGCGAACGGGUGAGUAACACGUGGGUAACCUGCCCCCAUCUCUGGGAUAACCGUUGGAAACGGCGGCUAAUACCGGAUACGACCACCUUCCGCAUGGUUGGUGGUGGAAAGUUUUUGCGGUUGGGGAGGGGCCCGCGGCCUAUCAGCUUGUUGGUGCGGUAGUGGCGCACCAAGGCUUUGACGGGUAGCCGGCCUGAGAGGGCGGUCGGUCACAUUGGGACUGAGAUACGGCCCAGACUCCUACGGGAGGCAGCAGUGGGGAAUUUUGCACAAUGGGCGGAAGCCUGAUGCAGCGACGCCGCGUGAGGGAUGACGGCUUUCGGGUUGUAAACCUCUUUUAUCCACCACGAAGGCUCCGUAUUCGCGGGGUUGACGGUAGUGGUUGAAUAAGCGCCGGCUAACUACGUGCCAGCAGCCGCGGUAAGACGUAGGGCGCGAGCGUUGUCCGGAUUUAUUGGGCGUAAAGGGCUCGUAGGCGGUUGAUUGCGUCCGCCGUGAAAGGCCUCGGCUUAACCGGGGUUUUGCGGUGGAUACGGGUCGACUUGAGGCAAUUAGGGGAGAUCGGAAUUCUACGUGUAGCGGUGAAAUGCGCAGAUAUGUGGAGGAACACCGGUGGCGAAGGCGGAUCUCUGGGAUUGUUCUGACGCUGAGGAGCGAAAGCGUGGGGAGCGAACAGGAUUAGAUACCCUGGUAGUCCAUGCUGUAAACGGUGGGCGCUAGGUGUGGGGUCACGUUGGUUGAUUCUGUGCCGUAGCUAACGCAUUAAGCGCCCCGCCUGGGGAGUACGGCCGCAAGGCUAAAACUCAAAGGAAUUGACGGGGGCCCGCACAAGCGGCGGAGCAUGCGGAUUAAUUCGAUGCAACGCGAAGAACCUUACCUAGGUUUGACAUCACCCGGAAACCUCUAGAGAUAGAGGCCUCUUCGGACUGGGUGACAGUG